rnacentral:rRNA from 1 species
UACGUAGGAUGCAAGCGUUGUCCGGAAUUAUUGGGCGUAAAGAGCGCGCAGGCGGUAUGACAAGUCAGAUGUGAAAGAGGCCGGCUUAACCGGCAAGGGUCAUUUGAAACUGUCAGACUAGAGUGCAGCAGAGGAUAGUGGAAUUCCCGGUGUAGUGGUGAAAUUCGUAGAUAUCGAGAGGAACACCGGUGGCGAAGGCGGCCAACUGGACAGAUACUGACGCUGAGACACGAAAGCGUGGGGAGCAAACAGG